AUUGAACGCUGGCGGCAGGCCUAACACAUGCAAGUCGAACGGUAAUAGGAAGAAGCUUGCUUCUUUGCUGACGAGUGGCGGACGGGUGAGUAAUGUCUGGGAAACUGCCUGAUGGAGGGGGAUAACUACUGGAAACGGUAGCUAAUACCGCAUAACGUCGCAAGACCAAAGAGGGGGACCUUCGGGCCUCUUGCCAUCGGAUGUGCCCAGAUGGGAUUAGCUAGUAGGUGGGGUAACGGCUCACCUAGGCGACGAUCCCUAGCUGGUCUGAGAGGAUGACCCGCCACCCUGGAACUGAGACACGGUCCAGACUCCUACGGGAGGCCGCAGUGGGGAAUAUUGCACAAUGGGCGCAAGCCUGAUGCAGCCAUGCCGCGUGUAUGAAGAAGGCCUUCGGGUUGUAAAGUACUUUCAGCGGGGAGGAAGGGAGUAAAGUUAAUACCUUUACUCAUUGACGUUACCCGCAGAAGAAGCACCGGCUAACUCCGUG
rnacentral:rRNA from 1 species